GUCAGGCAAGGAUAAAACUAACAAAGAUAAAAGUUUUUUUCAGGUGUUUUUGCUUCAUUUAGACAUGAAAAGGGAAUAACGGACGACUAAAUGAAAGUGUUUGUUUUCAUAUAAUAUAUUGAACUUGCGAAUAUAUCUCACCCAAAACGUUUUGAUCGGAACAGUGAAACCUAGUUUAAUACGGUUUUAUUCAUUGAAGUUUG
rnacentral:lncRNA from 1 species